CUUUGAAUCUUCCUUCUGAGAAGCAGUGCAUGCUGAGAUCAGAGCUGCUCUUCAUCAGAAGGUUCAAAGAACUGGUCACCAGCUGGACUGAAGGACAUGGCACUGUCCUCCUCUUCUCCCUCUGUGGGACUGGAGCCUGGUCUCACUGCUGAGCUGAGAGACAGCCCCCACAUGGGUACUCCUGGGCCUCCAGAAGGCACCCUGUGCAGACUCACUCCCAGCCCUGACUCAUUCCUCAGCUCUCCUUGAAGACCAUCAUCAACAAGUCUUAGCUUAGCCUCUCCCUGGGGCUUGCCCUAUUGAAAUGCUCCCCUGGACACUCACCUGCGGCCACAGGUGCCAGGAGGGGACAGCAUCAAAGACAGUGGAGCCCUUCCUGGGCUUCAGCUGUCUGUUUCUUAAAGUAGCUUAAAUUACACACACUGCAAAGUCCAAGAAUUAAUUUUUUUCAAUUAAAAAAUAUUUUUAGAGAGUUGUAGGUUCACAUGCAACAGUAAGAAAUAAUACAGAGAUUCUCGUUUCCCCCAGUAAUAACAUCUUGCAUAAGAAUAGUUGUCAUAACCAGAAAUUAACAUUGAUCCAACCAGCCACUUUAUUCAGAUUUCACCAGUUUCACACUCACUUGUGUGUGUGUGUGUGUGUGUGUGUGUGUGUGGUUCCAUGCAGUUAUAUCACGUGUCCAGUCAUGUGACUCCACAGUCGAGAAACAGAGCAUUUCCAUCACCAGGAGGGUUCCUGGUGUUACCUUUCUAAUUGUUCUCUUCUCAGCCAGGUGUGUGCAGGUGAUACCUGAGAGGCACCGAGUAUGACUGCAUCAUGGCAAAUGGUGUCAGCAUGUGGGAUCUUUGGAAUGAGGGAGGGGGACCAAAUCGUCACUCUGCCCUUCAACAUCAACCAAAAAGAGAGCACAGAUGAGAGGAAAAACAGUUUUGUCAACAGGUCCUCCCGGUCAUGGGGAUGGAAAGUCACAUAACUUCCUAGACUGUUUGCACACUGUUGAAAUGAGGAUGGCUCCAGGAUUCAGGGAACAUGCGACCGCAGAUUCACAGAUCACCCGGUGUCAGCCGUGUGUAAAGCAGAAGGACCAGUCCAGCAGUCACUCACUCCUCAGGGAAGAUGGCUUCCUGUGUGUGAACUUCCACUUUGACCCAAGGCUUCCCCAGCUGGCCUGGAGUCCCCACAGACCUGGGAGAUUGAUGCAUGGUUCCAUGUGGCCAUAGAACCUCCUUCCUGGAUGCAGGAUUUCUAGGUGUGAAUCUGGGAGAGCUGUUCCUGGAGCCCCUGGCCCAUGAGGCUCAGAUCCUUGAUGCACAGCCUGCUUCUAAGCCUCAUGGACUUUGACUCACUGUGAUUCCCCCACGGUGACCUCAUCAGCUUAUCUCAGGCUCAAAAACAUGCCAGCACUGCUCUUAACUUUAUAAGUGUUGGCAAGGUGUCAGACACUUGGUUUUCACAAAUGUCUUUGUCCCCUUAAAUUCCAGGGGAGGUGCCAAAAAGUGGCAUCCUAUCCACAGCCCAGGACUUGGAGGAAGUUACUUCUCACACUUGCCAACUCAGGUGUUUGAAGAACUGAGGUAGUGUUCUAAGCUGUUUGUGUGUAUUCUCUCAAUCCUCACAGAAUCCCAAUCAGGUAGGGGCUAUCAUCUCCACAUUUUGUUAAUGUGGAAACUAAGGAACAGAGAGGUUGAGUAAAUUAUCCCAAACUACACAGCUAAUUGAGGGAGUUUGAGGCUGUCCCAAAUGACAAUGAUGGCUCCCAAUUGCUUCAACUUGGUAUUCAAGACUAUGUCUACCAUACAGACUUUUUCUCUUUCUUUCCCUGACAACUUCCUCCUAGUUACUGAGUUAGAAUUUCAAGAGAAAAAUAAAUAAGAUAGAGGAUUUGAUCACCCUUUCGCUGUAUGUCCUUUUAAUUCUCCAACUCAGGGUGGAGGCAUGGGGGGCAGCUCAGGGUCGAGGUGGGGCAGAGGUGUCACAUACAGUGGGAAUUCAGGGGGGAUUCCCAGUUAGCAGCUCCAUUGCUCCCCAAAUGUGCCUAUUUGGCCCAGAAGAGCAGAGAGGAUCCUUGCGGGAGUGUCUCACCUCCUACUUGAAAGCCCUGGCCUGAACUCUCCUGCCUGUGUCCUGUGGACCCAGGCUGAGCCCUGAGACGGAGAUGAGCUGAGCUCCUCUGUGGGCAGUCACAGCCCAUCCCCAUAGGUACAGAGGAGACCCAGUGGGGAGAGCUCUUACCCUGCUGCCACCACCAAACUCGUGAAACUGGGUGCUGAGGGCAGGCUGACCGGGGAACCUGAACAUCCUAACAGCAAUGGACACACUUGGAUGAGUUUCACACCAAGAACUGCUGAGUACUGGGUAGGCUGGAUGGAGCAGAGAUGCUUCAACAGCCUGGGCUAGAAGUGGGCCUGACAGGGUAGAAAGAGGCUCAUGGGGUGGGAUUUGGGACUCCUCAGCCAGGCCCAGGGUGUCUGUGUACAAUGAGAGGAAUGGCUUCUGCUGCAAGACACAGGCUGGGCUCAGAGAACCAAAUGCAGAUGGAAAGGGUGGGGAGCAGCGGGCGGCUCAGAGGCAGGACUUGGGUCUCUUCCAGAGCUUCUAUGGGUCUGUCUCCCUGUCUCUUGGUGCAGGGGGCUGAGCCCUAUUCCACAGUAAUGAUGAGGGAGGGACUAAUCAAAGUGUAUGUGCCUUAGAGACCCUAUCUUCUCACCAAGCGUUGGGGCCAUGGUCUCCCCUACAUCCCUCCCACACCCACAGGUGCCCUGGGGUCAGGCGAACAAUGGGUAGAGAAGCCUAGUGAGCUGAAGAACCCUGAUCUUGGAGUUGUCCCUGCAAUCCCAUCAGAGGCCUUGACUCAGAGCUGCACACCUGCACCGGCUGAAGGAACAGGACCCCGGGCUGCAGGGGGCAGGCCACCUCGGAACCCUCUUCACUGAAGCACUGGAGCCUGGGCGGGUUUCCAUCAGCCAAGUCAAGUAAUUGAGCUCAGAUUAGAUUAAAUCCAGACACAUCCCAUGUUUAGUGCCAAUUACUCACAGCCAGCAGGGGCGGACGAGGGGUCUGGACUGUGUCACGUCGUGCCUUCUUGGAGGCUGACUGCUCCCUCCAGCUCAAGGUGAGCUGACCCAAAAUAACAACAGUCGUGUCUCUGGCUGUGUUUCACCUCCACCUGGCGCUUUGCAUGGAUCUUCUGCUG
rnacentral:lncRNA from 1 species